rnacentral:rRNA from 1 species
GUGGGGAAUAUUGGGCAAUGGGCGAAAGCCUGACCCAGCAACGCCGCGUGAAGGAAGAAGGUCUUCGGAUCGUAAACUUCUAUCCUUGGUGAAGAUAAUGACGGUAGCCGAGAAGGAAGCCCCGGCUAACUACGUGCCAGCAGCCGCGGUAAUACGUAGGGGGCAAGCGUUGUCCGGAAUGAUUGGGCGUAAAGGGCGCGUAGGCGGCCUGGUAAGUCUGAAGUGAAAGUCCUGCUUUUAAGGUGGGAAUUGCUUUGGAUACUGUCGGGCUUGAGUGCAGGAGAGGUAAGCGGAAUUCCCGGUGUAGCGGUGAAAUGCGUAGAGAUCGGGAGGAACACCAGUGGCGAAGGCGGCUUACUGGACUGUAACUGACGCUGAGGCGCGAAAGUGUGGGGAGCAAACAGGAUUAGAUACCCGGGUAGUCC